UCGGGGAGGCUCGGAAAGCCCAGAACAACAAACAGCCCUAAACUAAGCCCUAUUUCGGGCUUGGCCGGAGCAACCUUGCUCCGGCCGGCCUCCGGCGACACGGCGGCGCGCGCGGGGGCCAGGGUCGAGUGCGGGGGUGGUGAGUAACACAGUGCUCACCUCGGUUGGCGGCGGGGAGCUGCGACGGCGUCGGCGGAGCAAGUUGAGCCCGCACGAGAUCGGGCUCGGGUUCCACGAGUUGCUGCGGCCACGGCGGCGGCCGGGGAGCUCCGGGACGGCGGAGGCGGGCU
rnacentral:lncRNA from 1 species